UACGAAGGGGGCUAGCGUUGCUCGGAAUCACUGGGCGUAAAGCGCACGUAGGCGGGUUGUUAAGUCAGGGGUGAAAUCCUGGAGCUCAACUCCAGAACUGCCUUUGAUACUGAAGAUCUUGAGUUCGGGAGAGGUGAGUGGAACUGCGAGUGUAGAGGUGAAAUUCGUAGAUAUUCGCAAGAACACCAGUGGCGGAGGCGGCUCACUGGCCCGAUACUGACGCUGAGGCACGAAAGCGUGGGGAGCAAACAGG
rnacentral:rRNA from 1 species